GAAAGAGGUUAGAAACAACAAGGACUGCUAAUCCUUGCCCCCGCGGUUAAACUCCGCGGCUCAUUCA
rnacentral:tRNA from 1 species